AUGCAGAACGCUGAGGGAGCACAUGAGUUCUCCUUCGGAUACGGGGAACAACCAGUAAGUCCAGGUACUCAUAACCCUUCUUGGUGCCUUUGGCAACCAACUGCUUGCGUGAAUAAUGUUGUCUUAGAAGAGUCCAGGAGCGCUUCUUCGCUUCUUUCUCAUGUAGAAGGGUUUGGCGAUCAUAAUUAUGAAGUGAAUUUAGCUCAGUCAUCAAUUCCAGCUUUCCUUUCAAUCAAGCUUGAUGUGACUCUCCAAUGCUUGUUGUGUGCGAAUGAAGAUUUCAUACAGAGAUGGAUUUUCCAUACGAGGGAUUUCAACCUUGGCUUUCAUAACCUUCGAAGCAGCCUCAGAUUCAGACGUAGUACCAACAACAUCAACAGGUGCCUUUCCUUUACCAAUAUCCUUCACCAUACGGAGUGUGUCACGUACUGGUGGCAUGAAAACCUUCAGAACAUGAGAAUAGAAGAUUUUUUUUCAUUGAUGGGCUGCUCAAUUUCAUACAUGAUCCACGGGGCAUAA
rnacentral:rRNA from 1 species